rnacentral:rRNA from 1 species
GACAAACAGAUCAAGUCAAGAUUUGACAGUAAAAAAGGGGGUUAAAGAAUUAAAAGUUCUGACUUUAGGGCUGCAUUUGUAGGGAAAUAAUGCUUCUUAUAGAGGUGGAAUUUGAGUAAGAGGAAUCUAGUUUAUUAAUCCCUUGAUUCUUGACGCCCCGAAAUCUCAUAGUGAGACCGGGAUUAGAUACCCCGUUAUUUGAGAGGUAAAUUUUAAUUAUUAGUUGAUUUACUUGGGUAUUACGAGGGCACGGUAUUAUAAAUUACUGUUAUUUACCUUAAAACUCAAAAGACUUGGCGGUGUUUUAGGUCCUUCUAGGGGAACCUGUCCUGUAAUUGAUAGUCCACAAAUAACCUUUCCUUUUCUUGAUAUCUCUCAGCCUGUAUACCGUCGUCGCCAGAUUACCUUUAAGAGAAAUGAAGUUGUCAGUAGGAGGCUUUACAACGGAAGUCUUUAUUUUGUGUAUUGUUUCUUGACGUCAGAUCAAGGUGCAGCUUAUGAAAAGGGAGAGAUGGGUUACAAUAAUGAAUUAUUAUACGGAUUUUUUCCUGCAACUUAGGAAAUAUUGAAGGCGGACUUAGAAGUAAUUUUUAGUAAAGGAGCAGAAAGCCUUGGUGAAAAUUGGCACUAAAACGUGC